CUCUGCGAGCGAGCGCCCGCCUGCGCGCCCCGGGGGAGGGAGCGAGGGCUGCGAGCUGCGCGCCCGGCCGGGGAGGGCAGCGUCCUCCCCCGCGCCGGCGCCCGGGCCCCGGCUGCUGUCCCGGGAAGGCGGCCCCGCGAGCCGCCGCGGCCCGCUGGGGCUCGGGACUAGACGAGCCUCCGGCUCCGACAGCGUGCCCGUUCAGAAGCCCGCGCGGCUGGUCCCCAGCCCCGACCGGUCCCGCUCUGCCCCUCCCCGUCCCUGCCGGGCCCGGACCUGCGCCGCCCGCGAGGGCUGGAAGGCACUGGAAGCGCCGCCGGGGCUGCCCAGAGGCCGGGUCCCCGCUCCACUUUGCGCAAACUUGUUUUUCUAAGGUCAGCGCUGCGAGCUGGCUACAUCGUCCUCUUAAGGUGGACCGGGGAAGUUGCGGCCGACCUCCCCUCGCCUCCGGACUCCGGCCGCGCGGCUGCUCCCCGCUUCCCACUGGCGAGAGGCUGGAGGCGGCGAAGGAGUCGGGGCGCGGGGGCGCGGGGGGCGGGGGGGCGUCUGCCUUUUAACCCUCCCCAGGAGGUCGUGCCUCUGAGCCCCAAAGCUGAAGGCCCCUCUUGGGGGUGGGUGCGGGCCGGAGGGGCCCGAUCCUUUCAGAGCCGGGCCGAGGUGAAGGAAAAGAAGGAAGUAAGUGAACGCAGGGGGAAGGGGAGAGGAAGAAGAGAUGAUGGUACAAAAAUAGCGUGUGUGUAGGAAGGACUUCGGUGCCGCCUGGAAAAGAGGCGCGGGGAGGAGAGGGAGCGAGAAGGGGGCUGUGGCGCGCAACCAGAGGGGAAGGGUCGGGGCCUUCCCAGGGAGGUGGAGGCCCCCUGGCCAGGUGUCUCGGUGGUGGAGGGCGGACUGGGCGGGUGGGAGGCCCAGGCCGGGGCGUGUGUGGGAGAGCGGGGCCCUGAAGGCCUGGGUUCCGGGAGAAGGACAAGCCCUGAGGAAGAUGAGGGGAAGGGGAGCCGGGGCCAGAGGCCUGGAGUUGGAGAGGACAGAACCCCGGUUUUCCCGGAGGGAACGCCGUUCCUGUAGUAGCCAGGUCAGUGAUGGGGAGUGCCAGUGUCGUGGUCACCUGGCAGAAGGCUCCGCACUGUGGGAGGAACACAAGUUCAAGACCCCGCUGCUAAUGGGAGAGAAUUUUGGUUCACACAGUGGCGGUUAAGAGGACAGGAAUGACACAAGGUGAGAGAAGGCCCAACCCUGUAAAUGGACAGAAAGUUGAGGCCCGGAGAGGGAAUAGGUUUGCUUAAGGCCACACAGCAAAGCUUGGGGUAGAAACAAGAUUUGAAUUCCUGAUUCCCAGGUUAAAGACCUGUGCAAAGUAACACCACUGCCUCCCCUCCUGCCCCGAGCCUCCUGGUGAAGGCAUGGCCCUGCUGUUGUGCAGGGGGGCAGGGAAGGUGCCACACUUGAGAACAUGGGCUGAACUCCGUGGGUUCAAAUCCCCCGGCUACUGUUAUGAGCUGGGUGGACUGGAAAGUGCCUUACCUCUUCUGUGCCUCAGCUUCUUCAUCUGAGACGAGGCCAGCGUGAGUCUCAAUUGUGAGGAUUUGAUGAGUUAAUAUUUGUAAGACAUGUUAAAAAGAGCCUAGCACAUACCAAGUGCAACAUAAGCAUUUGAUAAAUAAGUGAAGUGUUUGACAACAGUCCUUGAGAACCCACAGGGUUCUGGGCAGCAUUUGAAGUGCAAGGGAAUUUUCAUUUCUCUGGGUGUGGGAGAGCACGAGGUCCCUGUCCAUGAGGAAUUUAUAUUCUACUAGGGGAGACAGGUAAGUGGACAAGUAGAAAUAAUUAAUGAAGAACGGAAGAUUGAACUUAGAGAAGGAGAGGGGUGAGCGUAUUUAGAUAAGGGGGCCAGUAAGACCUCCCUGAGACAUGGGUUGCUGAAUCACAAGUAGGGUCAGCAAGGCGAAGAUUUGGGGAGAAAGGUGUUCCAGGAAGAGGGCCCAGCACAAGGAGGGGAAGGCCCCAGGUGGCUAGGCCGGAGGAGAGAAAGCGCAGUAUGCAGGACUGGGGAGGGUGGGAUGGUCUCCAAGACCUGGGUAAAGAGCCUGCGUUUAUUCUGCAGUUGGGAGACCCCUAGAGGGUUUUCAGCACGGGAGGGCCAUGUCUGAUUUAUGUGUCUAAAAGGCCAGUCUGCAAGCGGAGGGUGGACUGGAGAGAGAGGAGCGUGGAAUUGGGCACCAAUGAGAAAGAUUGUUCUGGGGUUAUCCUGGUAUCUGAGGUGGGUGCAGGGAAGGUCUCCAACUCUUCAGGCCACAUCGGGUCUAGACCAUGAAGGUAACCAGGGAGGCUCCUGGGAAAAUCUGUCACCAGACUCCAUCUGGGGUGGGAGUGGAGAUGGGGGCUGCUGAUGAAGUCAGAGAAGAGGCAGCCUCCUGCCCUGGACUUCCAGAAGGCUCUGCUGUUCACUGUUCCUCAAGACACAUACACACUCACAAACCUGCUGGGGGAUUAGGAAACUGGAGAUUAGGGAAGGAUAAUAAUUGAACCACCUGCUAUUUAUAUAUAGCACCUUUGGCAAAGGCGCUCAGCAGGGCUUCCCUCACCUCUCCCCCUGGAGGGGGCCCUGACCCUUGUUCUCUGUCCACAUAAAAAUCAUCCUUGGCCAACCUCAAGGCUGAGAAGCCAUUGAGACCCACGGGCCAUGGGUAGACUGAUGUGAGGGGCAACUUGUCUGAGGCCACACAGAGAGAUUAUGGCAGAUAAUUGACAUGAAUCAGCCACCCGCACAGCAGGAGGUCUGUGCUGCCCUGCGUUAAAAUCUAACUGCCUUCACACAUGUUCACUCACGCACUCAACAGUAUUAAGCAUCUGCUAGGUGCCAGGCACUGGGAAUGCAACAGCUGGAAAACAGAUAAAAAUCUCUGCCCUCAAGAAGCUGACAUUCUAGUGGGAGGAAACGAACCGAUAAGAUAAGUAAAUUAUUUAGUUUGUCAAAUGGGACAGGUGCUACGGGGUGGGGGGAAUUAGCCAGGGAAGAGGCCCAGGAGUGCUGAUGAGAGGGAUAGAUUGCAAUUUUGAAAACGGAUCAAGGAAGGUCUCACCGAGGAGGUGAGAUGGGAAGCCAGGGGUGGUUGCAUCCCUGCUUUUGCUGCUUGACUCUUCCUCUUACUCCUAGAGGGCACAAUCUGUCAGCAAAUCCUGCCUGCUGGGCCUUCUCAUCACAACCAGGGCCAAACCACUUCUCAGCGCCUCCGCUGCUUCCGCCCUCGUCUGAGCCUCCACCGCUCUCACCUGGGCGCCCUAUUUCCACCUUGUGCCUUCUGUCGAUUCCUCACUCACCAGCCCGAGGAAUCCUUGCACAGAAGUCAGAUCACAUUCCUUCCCUGUUGUCAAGGGAAGAAGACAAAUGGGCAUGAGAAGGAGAGGAUCAGGGGCUUGGAAGCCAAGAUUUUGCCAAUUUGACUUAUGCAACUUGGGCAAAAAAAAAAAUUGAGCCUCAGUCUUUUCAUCUGUGAAAUAGGGAUAACAAACUCUGAUACGAGGGGUCCUUUGAGAUACAUUAUCUCACUGAAGCCUCAGCAACUCCGCGGUGUUCCCAGAGGUGAGGAAACACACUGAGAGACAGAACACGACUUGACCAGGGCCACCCUGUGGGGCACGCUGGCACCUGCACAGCCCAGCUUCACCUGGUUCCAGCCCUGCCCGCGCUCUGCUCCCCACUUCCCGUAACCCUGGGCUGGCGUCAGCAGGCAGGCCUGCCAGGAGGCUGGAGCUGCCAACGACCUAUUUUUCUGGGCAAGAAGAGCCAUUUGGAGUUAGAGGUCUCAGCUGUGAAGCCAGAACAAUAAAAAUAAAAACAGCACGGACUCCUGGGCAGCCUGGACCAGGGAACCAACUGCCCCAAGAGUUGCUGCUCACCAGGCUGGAAGGCCUCCAUCCAACCACAGCUGCACAGGCAUCAGAGCUUUGGUUCUACAACGUGAGCUGAUACCAAUAGCCCCUGGAGGGAUUGUUAAAACACUGAUUCCAGGGCCCUAGCCAUGGAGUGUCUGAUUCAGUAGGCCUUAGGUAAGGUCUGAAAAUCUGCAUUUCUAACAAGGUCCCAGGUGAUACUGACGCUACUGAUUCAGGGAUCACACUUUGAGAACCGCUGAAUAGACUGCCAUUCAAGCCAAGAAAAUUCUCAAACUACAGGAAGUGGAGAGAACAGUACAGUGACCCUACACGCUUGUUACCAGCCUCACCUGUCACCCACAUGGAGUCCUUCCCAUUUGUGGGGUUUCCAGGAUUUGCUGAGCACCUACUAUGCAUCAGACGCUGUGUUCUAGGCAAGGGGGAUACACCUGAUGGAAGAAGGUCCUUCCCUAGACGUAGCUAACAUCCCAGUGUGGGAGAUGACACGAAACAGCAAACUCCCCACAACAGCCUCCUCAACGCUGCCUCCCACAGUGCUUGGACAAAAUAAUUACAGCAAGAUGCGGGCACUGAGCUGACUCCUUAUGUAGGACAUCCCAGUGCAGGUAGAGAAACUGAGGGACAGUUGGAGGUUCCUUGCCCUUGGUGAUGCGGUGAGAGGGCCUGCAGGCACCAGCCCGGCCGCCCGCACCGCUUCUCGCGGACCCCAGCGGAGCCGCGCUUCUCGUGCCGCUCCUGAGGGUUUCCGCGGCGCCGGCGUUUUUGUUCCCGGCGCGUUUAAGUCGUUGAGGCCGAAUCAAGCGAAGGCGGAAAAGCGGCGCGCAGCCCGCGUCAGCUGCAGUUCCGUCCCCCUGGUUCCCGGUGCGCUAACAAAGGCAUUUGCAUGAAAACAGGAACCCCGUCUGCAGAAAGGACUCGUUGGCGGGGUGCAUCGUGCGCUCCAGUGCCCCUACCGCGGCGCCCCGCUCCCCAGGUGGGGAAGAAGCGGGGUGCGGGGACUGGCCCCAAACACGGCUCGGCCGGCGGGGACCGGCACGCUGCGGCCCGGGCGACCCCCUUCUCCGCCCCUUUCCCAGGCCGGCGGAAACGGCCGUCUCGGGCGUGGGCGCGCUUCUGCGGACUCCUCGGGACCUUUUACCCAGGCGUGCGGCCGGGGCGCCCGGGGCCUCGGGGAGCCGGCGCCAGCGUGCGGAGCGCAGCGGAGCGGAGGGAGCGGCGGGAGCGGCGUCCGUGGCUGGUCCAGGUCUGGGGCGCAGCCUCCAGGCUCGCCCUGCGCCGCUCUGGGCCUCGGCCUCUUCGCCUGUUCGACCGGGGCGCAAGCGUGUCACAGCGCCUGUCUGCAGGGGGAAGCGGGCUUCCCAGAGGGGCGCGUGGCUCGCAGAGGGGCUCCGGGAAUAUCCGCUCCGUUGGCCCUUUCCAGAGCUUUUCCUUAGCUGCUUCUCCUUUGAAAUCCGCCUUUUUCCCAGCAGCCCUUGGAGGCAGGAUAAAUUAAGUGGUAAAAGCAGAGGAUUAGGAACCGGGAACCCUGGAUUCAAAUCCUGCCCGCCGCUGACCAGCUUUGUAACCAUGAGCAGGUUACUCCGCCUCUGGAGGCCUCAGCUUCCCCGUCUGUAAAAUGGGGCCUAACACAGUCCAGAAAGUGCUUAGUGCCGCAGUGUCACACACCGAGUGCUUAAUUCAUUCUUAAAAUUAUCACUUCCAGCUGUGGGACAGGCGCAGGGUAGAAAGGGGUUUUCUUAAGGUCACAGGCGGGGUCAAAGGCAAACCCUCCGGGUCCUCACAAGUAAGACUUGCGAAGCAGCAAGUUCCCCAAAGGGUCUUAUCCAGCCGGGUAAGGAGCGCCGGGGCAUCUCCCCCCUCUCUCUCCGCGAAGACGCACAAGCAAUGGCUGGCGAACCUACUGCCUGGAAUGGGGUUCUUGGGUCGAGACCUUUAAAAAAAUAAAGAAGAGGAAGAAGAAAGAAAGAAAACAAACAAACAUGCACGCAAAAACGGAAUGCCAGAGCCUUUGAUCUAGGAGCCAGCUUGCUAUUCAGGGCCGACCACCGUCUCGCCGCAGUUCCUCCCCGGGAAGGAAGCCUCGCGCUGCCCUCCGGUGGCAGGCGAGGUAGUGUCGCCUGGGCGCAACUCACAAGCAGGGGUUUACCGGAGAAGCCAGCUUCGCUCUGCGCGGGUGGGGGCUGUGGGGGAGAGAGGAGGGAAAAUCGGAAUUGUUCCCUGACUGCUGUUUUUUGGUCCCGGUGGAUCUUGGGAGUCUUGGAAAGAGAAUAAUAAGGCUCUCUGCAUUUGAAAGGCAUAGGAGUUUUUACAUUCUGGUUUUAUUUAUUUUUGAAUGGAUAACACAUUUACACGAUUCAAAAGAUAAAAAAGAGGAUAGCGUGAAAAGGAAGUCUCGCUUCCACUCUUGUUCCCCAGGCACCCAGUUCCCCUUCCUAGAGACAGCCAUUGUUACAUGUUUCUGUGUACCCACCCGGAGACAGUCCAUGCAAAUGCAAGUAUUUUACAGGAUCAAUAGUAGCUUGCUCUGUAUACUCUUCUGCCUCUUGCUGCUUCGCUUAAAAAUGCAUCAUGGAGUUUGUUCCAUGUUGAUUCACAUAGGGCUGCCUCGUUCUUUUGAACAGCUGCAUAAUAUUCCAUUGUUUGGCUCUCCUGUAAUUAUUUGAUCAGUGUUCUAUUGAUGAGCCUUGAGGCUGCUUCUAAUCUUCUGUAAUCACAGUGUGUUACAACAAAUAAGCACCUACAUGCAUUGUUAUGCCUAGGUGCCAGUGAGGCACAUAGCUAUUGCGGUAUAACAAACCACUCCGAAAUUCAGUGGCUUUAAAUAGAAAGCUUUUGGUAUUGCUCAUGUGGGUCAGCUGGGUAGCACUGCUGAUCUGGGCCAAGCUCAGCUAACUUUGCAUUUGCUCCUUGUGUCUGGGAUCAGAAAGGGUGGGUCAGCUGGGGCUGGUUUAUUUAGGAUGGUCUAAAUCACAUGUCUGGUAGUUGACUGGCUAUCAGCUAGGGUUAGAGGGGUGUUCAGGCUAUGUGUCCGUCAACAUCUGAUAACAUGCAGUGCCUCCUGAGACUGUAUAACUGGUGUGAAUUUACAUCCAUUACAUUCUGUUGGUGCAAACAUGUCACAAGCCAGCCCAGAUUCAAGAGGUGGGGAAAUAGAAAUCACUUCUCCCAGGGAGGAGCAGCAAAGUCACACGGCAGAGUAUGAUGCAAGGGCCCUGAGGUAUUGUGGCCAUUUAAAAAUAUAUUUAUAAUGUUAUAGUUAGCAUUAUGGUGAUAACAUUACCUUUGGAUAUAAACAUUACCUUUGCCAUUACCUGACAGACGUUACCUCAAGCCUCAAGGCUCAUCAACAGAAGACUGAUCAAAUAAUUAACAACAAUAAUAAUUAACAACAACAAUAAUUUCAACAGAAGACUGAUCAAAUAAUUAACUAGGCCAUCAGGGUUGACAUUAAGUGAUAUUGAUAUUGAUAGCAUAUUCUCUUGAUAUAACUUUUUGAGAAUGACACUGUACCUCUGUGGUUUUCCUCCCCCAAACCAGUCUAAUAAUAACCCCAGUCUAAUAAUGAGAAUAGCCUCACAGAAUAGCCGCUAUGCACAGCCUCCACUUAAGGGAUGGGGAGUUAUGCUUCACUUCCUUGAGGGGGCAGUAUGUAAUAAGUUAUUUGGAAUUCUUCUGCUACUGGUUUAUUCAGUCAUUUAUUCUAUCCGUGUGCACUCAUGGAUAUUUAUUUUGUACUUUUCAUUAUAAUCCAAUACUAUGUUAUUUAUAUUGUUGCUUAAAUUGUUCCAGUUUUGGCGCCUGGGAGCUCUCUCUAUUGGCUCCUGUUUCCCUUUGCCAUAAUUUUUUGUUAUGUUUUUGAGCCCUUCCUUACUUUCUGGCACUAAAGCUGCUCCAGACUCAUCUUGCAUAUUUUCUUCCCAGCCCUAGAAUCAGCCGUUUCUCCAGGGAGCCCGGUUCCUUUCACUGGAGAAUGUUCUUAGAAACAGAUCUGGAUG
rnacentral:lncRNA from 1 species